ACCCUUCUGGCCUGGAUGUGUCAGUUCCUAUGGCCAUGGCCCUUGUGGGCCUCCAAACGCGAUGCUCUUCUCUUAGCUGGAAGCUUGUGGGUCCAAACCGCGGCUACCCUGUAAAUUAGAAGAUUUGGAAAUUGUGAUUAUCUCAAGGCUGUCAGACCGUCGAACAUGGAAGCCGAGGGAAUUCGGGCACCGGGUGGCGUUGGCUCCAUGGACACAGAAUGUC
rnacentral:sRNA from 1 species